rnacentral:rRNA from 1 species
AGUGACCGAUAGCGCAUAGUACUGUGAAGGAAAGGUGAAAAGGACCCCGGGAGGGGAGUGAAAGAGAACCUGAAACCCUGUGUUUACAAGCUGUCGAAGCACGCAAGUGCGACGGCGUACUUUUUGUAGAACGGUCCGGCGAGUUAUGAUGAGUGGUAAGGUUAAGGACUUAAGGUCCGGAGCCGAAGCGAAAGCGAGUGUUAAAAGCACGGUUGAAUCGCUUAUCAUAGACCCGAAACCGGGUGAUCUAUCCAUGUCCAGGUUGAAGCUGCCGUAAGAGGUAGUGGAGGACCGAACACACAUCCGUUGAAAAGGGUGGUGAUGAGGUGUGGAUAGGGGAGAAAUUCCAAUCGAACCCGGAGAUAGCUGGUUCUCCUCGAAAUAGCUUUAGGGCUAGCCUCUGGUUAGUCUGCCGCAGGUAGAGCACUGAAUUUCCUAGGGGGCGUCAAAGCCUACCGAAGAAUAUCAAACUGCGAAUGGCGGACAGAUGAUGCCAGGGAGUCAGACUGCACGAGAUAAGUUGGGUGGUCAAAAGGGAAAGAGCCCAGACCUACAGCUAAGGUCCCAAAGUGUGUGUUAAGUGGAAAAGGAUGUGGGAUUUCGAAGACAACUAGGAUGUUGGCUCAGAAGCAGCCACACAUUAAAAGAGUGCGUAAUAGCUCACUAGUCGAGAGGUCCUGCGCCGAAAAUGUCCGGGGCUGAAACACGACACCGAAGCUUGGGAAUCCUACGGGAUUGGUAGAGGAGCAUUGAAGACGGGACGAAGCGUAACCGUAAGGAUACGUGGACUGUCUUGAAGAGAGAAUGCCGGAAUGAGUAGCGAGAAUGAAGUGAGAAUCUUCAUGGCCGAAUAUCUAAGGUUUCCAGGGUAAAGCUGAUCUGCCCUGGGUAAGUCGGGACCUAAGGCGAGGUCGAAAGACGUAGCCGAUGGACAACAGGUUGAAAUUCCUGUACUGCAUUAAAUCAGAACUGUGGGGACACAGAAGGAAGGCAUGAGCCGGAAAAGGAAAAUCCGGUGCAAGCAUGGGAGGGGUAUGACAGGCAAAUCCGUCAUGCAACCCGAGAAUGUGACGCGGAGCGAACAAAAGUAGCGAAGCAUGCUUACCGGCUGUCGAGAAAAGCCGCUAUUGCGUUUAAUGCACCCGUACCGUAAACCGACACAGGUGGAUGAGGAGAGAAUCCUAAGGCCGGCGGGAGAAGCAUUGUUAAGGAACUCGGCAAAAUGACCCCGUAACUUCGGGAGAAGGGGUGCUCCAGAGAUGGAGCCGCAGAGAACUGGCCCAAGCAACUGUUUAGCAAAAACACAGGUCUAUGCAAAACCGAAAGGUGAGGUAUAUGGGCUGACGCCUGCCCGGUGCUGGAAGGUUAAGAGGAGAGGUUAGCGCAAGCGAAGCUUUGAAUUUAAGCCCCAGUAAACGGCGGCCGUAACUAUAACGGUCCUAAGGUAGCGAAAUUCCUUGUCGGGUAAGUUCCGACCCGCACGAAAGGCGUAAUGAUUUGGGCACUGUCUCGACAAUGCACCCGGUGAAAUUGAAAUACCAGUGAAGAUGCUGGUUACCUGCGCCAGGACGGAAAGACCCCAUGGAGCUUUACUCUAGCUUGAUACUGGGGUUCGGUAUUGCAUGUACAGGAUAGGUGGGAGACUGAGAAGAUGUGUCGCCAGAUGCAUCAGAGUCGAUGUUGGGAUACCACCCCUGCAGUACUGGGCUUCUAACCUGCAGCCGUGACCCGGCUGGGGGACAAUGUCUGGUGGGGAGUUUGACUGGGGCGGUCGCCUCCGAAAGGGUAUCGGAGGCGCUCAAAGGUUCCCUCAGAAUGGUUGGAAACCAUUCGAAGAGUGCAAAGGCAGAAGGGAGCUUGACUGCGACACCGACGGGUGGAGCAGGUACGAAAGUAGGACUUAGUGAUCCGGUGGUAUGAAAGUGGGAUUGCCAUCGCUCAACGGAUAAAAGCUACCCUGGGGAUAACAGGCUUAUCACUCCCAAGAGUUCACAUCGACGGAGUGGUUUGGCACCUCGAUGUCGGCUCAUCGCAUCCUGGGGCUGUAGUAGGUCCCAAGGGUUGGGCUGUUCGCCCAUUAAAGCGGUACGCGAGCUGGGUUCAGAACGUCGUGAGACAGUUCGGUCCCUAUCCGGCGUGGGCGUAGGAUAUCUGAGAGGAGCUGUCCUUAGUACGAGAGGACCGGGAUGGACUGACCUCUGGUGCACCGGUUGCAUUGCCAAAUGCAUAGCCGGGUAGCCAAGUCGGGACGGGAUAAACGCUGAAGGCAUCUAAGCGUGAAGCCCCCCUCAAGAUGAGAUAUCCCAUA